GACGAACGCUGGCGGCGUACUUAACACAUGCAAGUCGAACGAGUGGCGAGCGGGGUAGUGAUACGUGGGUAACCUGCCCUCUUUUUGGGAUAAGCCUUGGAAACGGGGUAUAGUGCAGAAUAAAGGGGGAUGGGCUCGCGGCCUAUCAGCUGGUUGGGGGGUUGGUGGCCUACCAAGGCGGGGCCGGGUAGCCGGCCUGAGAGGGUGACCGGCAACGUUGGGACUGAGAGACGGCCCAGACUCGUACCGGAGGCAGCAGUGGCGGAUAGUGCACAAUGGGCGAAAGCCUGAUGCAGGGACGCAGCGUGGGGGAUGAGGGCUUUCGGGUUGUAAACCUCUUUCGCUAUCGAACCGGUAGGUGGAGAAGAAGCGCCGGCUAACUACGUGCCAGCAGCCGCGGUAAUAC
rnacentral:rRNA from 1 species